rnacentral:rRNA from 1 species
AACGAACGCUGGCGGCAGGCCUAAUACAUGCAAGUCGAACGAGAAAGUUCCUUCGGGAGCGAGUAGAGUGGCGCACGGGUGAGUAACACGUAGGUGACCUAUCCUUUAGCGGGGGAUAACUCGAGGAAACUCGGGCUAAUACCGCAUGUUUUGAACGAAUUUGGAAUUAGUUCAACAAAGGCGGCCUUCGGGCUGUCACUAGAGGAAGGGCCUGCGGGUCAUUAGCUUGAUGGUGGGGUAAUGGCCUACCAUGGCUUUGAUGACUAGCUGGUCUGAGAGGACGAUCAGCCACACUGGAACUGAGACACGGUCCAG